GACGAACGCUGGCGGCGUGCCUAACACAUGCAAGUGGAGCGACGAACCGGGUUUCGGCCCGGGGCAAAGCCGCGAACGGGUGAGUAACACGUGGGUUACCUGCCCCGAUGAUUGGGACAACCCGAGGAAACUCGGGCUAAUACCGAAUGUGCCCUCCGGUCAUAAGGCCGCUGGGGAAAGGAAGCUUCGGCCUCCGCAUCGGGAUGGGCCCGCGGCCCAUUAGCUUGUUGGUGAGGUAAUGGCUUACCAAGGCGACGAUGGGUAGCUGGUCUGAGAG
rnacentral:rRNA from 1 species